UCUGAUAUUUGGUUUAUCUUAGAUUUUUAAUGCCCUUAAUGUAUAUUGCAAAUUUCUCAUGAGAGUCCAGUAAAGAUAAUCUUGUAUAACGUGUUUCUAUGAUAAACUUAGAUGUAUUGUUGAUAGUGGGGUCUAGAGAGUUUACGGAUACAGGAUCGUGGGGAUAUGUUUGUAAGGGACGUAUGAAGACGGUGAUAGUUGUGGAUGAGCAGGACACACAGCAUAUUAUACAUGGAGGUAUUAUUGUACAGACAAUUAUUAUGCAAUCGAUGAGGACCACAACAAUGUUAAGACGCCGAAUGAUCAAUAUGACGAUUACCACUGGUAUAGGAGAACAGACAGGCUGUGAUUUGGAUGGAUGUCAAGCGGCAGUUUAUGGUACCGGGAACUCGACUGGAAAUGGAAGUUGAAUAGGGAAAUUCUAGAUUGGCAAUAACAGGUUUAUGUUUUUUCUGUAUGUAUUGUAUAUAUUUUCUAAAUUUUCAUGGGUCCGUCUGAUAGGUACAGUAAAGGACAUUCUGUUGACUAGUUUGAAACACAUCUUAAAAUGGGGACCCCUUGGAAACACUGACUUUUAGUUAGGCUUGAGGUGUAAAACUACUUGAGGGACCGAGUCUGUCUGUUAUGUCUAGGGUAACAUGUCAUAACUUCAACAACAACGAUCACACCGAAGAUGUUUACCUCUAUCGGGAGAAAACACACCGACGACCAGAUGGGACGGACAGUUUCU